AAUCCAUAGGUUAAUGAGGCGAACCGGGGGAACUGAAACAUCUAAGUACCCCGAGGAAAAGAAAUCAACCGAGAUUCCCCCAGUAGCGGCGAGCGAACGGGGAGGAGCCCAGAGCCUGAAUCAGCAUGUGUGUUAGUGGAAGCGUCUGGAAAGGCGCGCGAUACAGGGUGACAGCCCCGUACACAAAAGCGCAUGUGCUGUGAGCUCGAUGAGUAGGGCGGGACACGUGGUAUCCUGUCUGAAUAUGGGGGGACCAUCCUCCAAGGCUAAAUACUCCUGACUGACCGAUAGUGAACCAGUACCGUGAGGGAAAGGCGAAAAGAACCCCGGCGAGGGGAGUGAAAAAGAACCUGAAACCGUGUACGUACAAGCAGUGGGAGCCCCACCACCAAAGCAUUUGCUGUACCGCGUU
rnacentral:rRNA from 2 species